CUCGCCUUCUGCCAGAAGUUUGGCUGAUCUCAGUUCUGGCAGUCGAUUGUCCAGCUUCUCCCGGUCCUCCGUAUCGGGACCUCCAUCUCGGUGGGCUCCGGAGCAUCGACGCUGUUCUGGUUUGAUCGCUGGGCCGGGGACACUCCCUUUGCAGCUUGCUUUCCCAGCCUAUUCUCCAUCUCCGCCGAUCCCGUGAUUUCUAUUGAUAGGGCCCUUCUUGACCUAGGGCGCCUUGCUUUCUGACGGCCUUUUGGUCCCUUGGAAUCCGCCGCAUGGCGUGAGUUGCUUGACUGUGUUGCUCUCCAUGAACCGAUGGUGGACGGUGGCCCUGACCUGGUGCGUUGGCGCCUUGAGCCUUCGGGCCAACUCUCCACCAAGUCGUUGUACCUGGCCAUCGCUCCACCUUCCGCCCCCCCCCUAUCGGUGGUGUGGUCCAACCGCCUGCCCUUGAAGAUCCGUAUCUUCAUGUGGCAAUGGAUUCGUGGUCGGGUCCCGUCCGGGGUGGAGGUGCACAAGCGAAAUGGCCCGGGUACUGGCAUCUGCCCGCUCUGUGGGGUCCUCGAAGACCCGAACCACAUUUUCUUCUCCUGCGUGUCCGCUCAGUUCCUCUGGAGCUGCUUUCGCGAAGCGGUCGGUGGAAAUUGGUGUCACACCAACUUCCCAGACUUAUUUGCCGAACUCCAGAUGUCCCCCGUGACUUCUCGCCACAUUAGGUGGCUUGAGAUUGGGGUCCUCGCCUGGACCCUCUGGACGGUCCGCAAUAAGCUUGUGAUUCAGCGCACUCCUCUUUGA
rnacentral:rRNA from 1 species